rnacentral:RNase_P_RNA from 1 species
AGAGUCGCCCGGAUCACCGCGUUGUAACUAGUUUUCUAGUGACACCGAGGAAAGUCCGGACUCCGAAGAGCAAAGUGGUGGCUAACAGCCACCCGGAGCAAUCCGCGGGAUAAGUGCCACAGAAAAUAAACCGCCGUUAGCAAUAACGGUAAGGAUGAAACGGUGGUGUAAGAGACCACCAGCAAUUGCAGUGAUGUGAUUGGCUAGGUAAACCCCACUUGGAGCAAGACCAAAAAGAUGGCGCUUGAGAGCUGCUCGCUCGAGUCAUCAGGUAGGUUGCUUGAAUCUGUAAGCAAUUGCAGAUCUAGAUGGAUGGUGAUCGUCUCGCAAGAGAACAGGAUCCGGCUUAUAGGGCGACUCUUC